AUGGCGUCCAACAGCGCCCCCCUCAUCCUGCUCCUCAUCGCGUCCGUCGCCGCGACCUCCUCCUCCUCCAAUUCCGGCAAUGCCGAGACGGACGCGCUGAUGGAGAUCAAGGCGGCGCUGGACCCGUCGGGGCGCGCGCCGGCGCUGGCGUCGUGGUCGCGCGGCGGGGACCCGUGCGGCCGCGGGGACUACUUCGAGGGCGUCUCCUGCGACGCUAGCGGGAGGGUCUCUGUCGUCUCCUUGCAGGGGAGGCGGCUCUCCGGGAGCGUCUCGCCGGCGGUGGCCAUGCUCCCGGGACUCACCGGGCUGUACCUCCACUACAACGACCUGGGCGGGGCGAUCCCUCGCGAGCUCGGCGACCUCCCCGACCUCGCGGAGCUCUACCUCGGCGUCAACAACCUGUCCGGGGGCAUCCCCGUCGAGCUCGGCCGCCUCCAUCGCCUCCAAGUGCUGCAGCUGGGCUACAACCAGCUCUCAGGGAGCAUCCCAACUCAGCUGGGUGAGCUCAAGAAGCUCACUGUUCUUGCCGUUCAGUCCAACCAGCUCACCGGGGCGAUACCGGCGUCUCUAGGGGACUUGCCGGAGCUGACACGGCUGGACUUGAGCUCCAAUCACCUGUUUGGCUCCAUCCCUUCCAAGCUUGCCGGUAUCCCACAGCUUGCAACACUGGACCUCCGCAACAAUACACUUUCAGGAAGUGUUCCUUCUGGUCUGAAGAAAUUGGGUCAUGGAUUUAAGUUCGACAACAAUUUAGAGCUCUGCGGGUCUCACUUUGGUUCUCUGAAAGCCUGUCCUAACGAUGACAACGUUGAUGAACAAAUGCCACAUAAACCCGAAUCAACCUCCAUCAAACCACAGCAAACUCCACAAAAUAUAAGCCAAAACACAAAUUGCGACAUCGGCGCAUGCUCGAGGUCAUCAACGCUCUCUUCAGGAGCUGUUCUUGCCGGAACAAUCAUAAUUAUAGCUGGUGUGGCGGCUUGUGGUCUAUCUGUCUUCUCAUGGCACCGCCGGCAGAAGCAAAAGGUUGGUUGUUCUGUGGAGAGCUUGGAAGGCAGGCCUAGUUUGGAGCAAUCAAAGGAAACAUAUCAGAAGAGUGCCUCCUCAUUGAUCAAUGUUGAGUAUUCUAGUGGCUGGGACACUUCGUCGGAGGGAUCGCAACACGGAGUACGGCUAUCGCCGGAGGGGUCCCCGAGCGUAAGGUUCAAUCUCGAAGAGGUGGAGUGCGCGACGCAGUACUUCUCGGACAUCAAUGUGCUUGGCAAGAGCACCUUUGCGGCGACACAUAGAGGGAUAAUGCGGGAUGGCUCGGUCGUCGCCGUCAAGAGCAUCAACAAGAGCAGUUGCAAGUCGGAGGAGGCCGACUUCUUGAAAGGGCUCCGUGUGCUUACAUCGCUGCGGCAUGAAAACCUUGUUGGCUUAAGGGGUUUCUGCCGCUCCCGGGCUAGAGGGGAGUGCUUCCUCGUCUAUGAGUUCAUGGCGACCGGUAGCCUUUCCCAGUAUUUGGAUAUCAAGGACGGCGACGCCGAGACGAGGAUCCUUGACUGGUCAACUCGGGUCUCCAUCAUCAAAGGCAUUGCCAAAGGAAUCGACUACCUGCACAGCAGCAAACCGAGCAAGCCUCCUCUUGUCCACCAGAACAUCUCGGCAGACAAGGUGCUCCUGGACCACAUGUUGGUGCCCCGCCUCUCUGGCUCCGGCGUGCACAAGCUGCUGGCCGACGACGUGGUCUUCUCCACGCUCAAGGGCAGCGCCGCCAUGGGGUACCUGGCGCCGGAGUACACGACCACCGGCCGGUUCACGGACAAGAGCGACGUGUACGCCUUCGGGGUGGUCGUGUUCCAGGUGCUCACUGGGAAGAAGGCGGUUUCGCAGCACCUCCUCCGCUGCACCAUGGACGGCGCGGAGCCCGGCGGUGCCGCCAAGCUCGACGAUCUUGUGGACCACCGCCUCGGGGCCAGGUUCUCGAGGCCCGAGGCGGCGAAACUGGCCGGGAUCGCGCUGCUGUGCACCAGCGAGGCGCCUGGCCAGCGCCCCGCCAUGGCUGCGGUGCUGCAGCAGCUCGGCGCCAGCCAGUAA
rnacentral:rRNA from 1 species